CACCAUCUUUGGAGUCUAGCUAACACAGCAUCUUGGAUGCACUCCUAAGAGAAGACUACCUGAAAGGCGUGUACACUGGUCUAGCAGUUGAGAUCAGCUAGUGUUCCAUCUAUCUUCUGUCAUGUCAGGGAAGACUCUCUGAUCCUCUCAUAAUUUACCUAUUGUUGAUUUCCUGAAUCUUUUUAAAUCCUUUGCAACUGAAGAUGGUCUCUCCAUCAGAGAAGCAAUUAACCAAAUGCCUGACUACAGCGUAUAUAGCAUCUGUUAUAAAAGCAUAAAAGGUUAACUUAAAUCCUGGCACACAAAGGAGAUGUCAGACCAGAACAAAUCAGCAUGGAAAUACCUGGAGGAGAUACAAGGUUAAGGUGGA
rnacentral:lncRNA from 1 species